ensembl:lncRNA
UGAAUUUCUCAGCAUAAACUGUAUAUAAGCAUAAUAUGAUGUCAGAAAGAAUUAAGAAUGCCAACUAUCAUAUUUUGGAUUGUUACCAACAAUCUUGGGAACAUGAAGAAUUUUUACUCUUCAACACCUGGUAAGAUGUGAAAAUUCCUGCGUGGUGAGAAUAUGUCAAGUUAUGUUAAAGACACAGUGUACCAUAGUGUGUCUCCUCCAGGAGCCCUGCCGUGAUGACACCGCAUUGCAGCUUUGCUCUUACUGGGAAUCAAGAAGUGGACAUCAAAAAUCUAUGAAAUAUUCAAUACUCUAUUCAGUCCCUAUUAACAAGCUGCUGCAACAAUGACCCUGGAGUGCAGGAAUAUCUGUGAAACUUUAAAUGAAUUAUCAGCAAUCAACAUUUUGCCAAGGAAAACCAAUAGGUAUAUCUAUUUGUCGUUUUGCCUUAUUCUUUCUUCUUGCUGGAUUUAUUAAUGCCCAUAUCAUCAGAGCUAUAAUAAGC